AUGAUGGCGCUAAAAUCCUUCACCCAGAUUUGAGGUGGAAGUUGUUAGCAUAAACAAGCUACAUGCUAGCGGGCGUGGCGCCAUUGUGUUUCUUGUUUCAAUGUAGCGCAGUUAGCUAAUAAAGCUAGCCUAAUUAACUCCAAGUCAGUUGGCCUAUUUUAGCAUAAAGAAAUGAAAAUAUAUCGACAAGCACGUAAAAACUCCUAAACAAAACAUAUUUUUUUGUAAACACUGAUAUUGCGAUAGCUAGCGCGAUAAACUCUCGCCGCUCCGCAGCCAUCUUGGAAAGGUUUUGAACUAGCUUUUAAAGUUCUGUUGAUUCUAUCUCAAAAUAAUGUUCUGCCACACUUUUUUGUCAUGAAUUAGCUCCUCAAACUAGCAUUUUUACUGGCAACGACAAGCUAAAUGCUAGCGGGCGUGGCGCCAUUUUGUUUCUUGUUUCAUCGUAGCGCAGUUAGCUAAUAAAGCUAGCCUAAUUAACUCCAAGUUAGUUGACCUAGUUUAGCAUAAAGAAAUGAAAAUAUCUACAAGCACUUAAAAACUCCAAAACAAAACAUAUUUAUUCGUAAACACUGAGACUGCUAGUAGCUAGCACAAUAAACUCUCGCCCUUCAGCAGCCAUCUUGGAAAGGUUUUGAACUAGCUUUUAAAGUUCUGUUGAUUUUAUCUCAAAAUGAUGUUCUGCCACAAUUUUUUGUCAUGAAUUAGCUCCUCAAACUAGCAUUUUUAUUGGCAACGACAAGCUAAAUGCUAGCGGGUCGUGGCGCCAUUUUGUUUCUUGUCUGUAAUCGUAGCGCAGUUAGCUAAUAAAGCUAGCCUAAUUAACUCCAAGUUAUUUGGCCUAGUUUAGCAUAAAGAAAUGAAAAUAUCUACAAGCACUUGAAAACCCCAAAACAUAUUUUUCCGUAAACACUGAGACUGCUAGUAGCUAGCACAAUAAUAUUUUGGUCUUCAGCAGCCAUCUUGGAAAGGUACUGAGCUAGCUUCUAAAUGUUUGUUGAUUCUAUCUCAAAAUAAUGUUCUGCCACACAAUUUUUUGUCAUUUUGACAAGCUAACUGUUAGCCUGUAGCUUGCUUAUCUCGUAACCUACUCAUUUUGGUGCCUUUGGCGCUGUUAUGAUAGCUGUAACCCAUGACAACGUUUUAGCUUGAAUUUGUUAGCGACAACGAGCUAAAUGCCAGCACUUUGUUUCUUGUCUGUAGUUGCGCGUGUAGCGGAUUAGCUUAGCGUAGCAUAAAGAAAGACCUCAUCCAACGGCACUUAUCUCUCGGAGAAAACAGUUUUCUGUGAACAUUGGGAGUGCUAUAAGCUAUUUUUUUCUGUGCGUCGUUUGAAUGUAUCCUCACGAAUUUUGGCAGCCAUCUUGGGAAGGGCUAGCUAACCUUACAAGCUUUUGUGAGCUAGUAAGGUUUGUUGACAAUGGUUAAAAAAAACACCUGUGACACCUGUGAACAUUUCUUGACGUUAUUCAUCCCUCACCCACAUUUUUCCCGCCAUUUUGUUCCUACUUAAACAAUUUGCUGCCCAAUAUUUUUAUGUGUCGUCAGACCUCAGCUAGCGCUACGCCAUUUGACGAAUAAUGGACGAAUCAGCAGAAACGGACAAAAUACCUUUUAGUGGAUGUUUGACAUUUUUACGGCGAACGUGCAAAUUAAGGUAAAUGCGCCAUGCUAGCUGUUAGCCUGCAUGCUAGUCAUAUUGCUAAUCCGGCGCAUGCACGCAAAGCUACGGUGCGUUAGCGUAGUUUACGCACUUGUUAAAAUGUGGAUUGUUUGCUGGGUUUCUGUUGCGUGGUUCGUUGUUAGCAUUUUGGUGCAGUUAGCGCAUAGAACCACCCGUUUUUUGGGUCCGGUUGGAGUUAUUCGGCUGAAUAGCGGACACUGGUAAAACUGAUUAAAAAUGGUUUCAAGUG